AUACGUAGGUGGCAAGCGUUGUCCGGAAUUAUUGGGCGUAAAGCGCGCGCAGGUGGUUCCUUAAGUCUGAUGUGAAAGCCCCCGGCUCAACCGGGGAGGGUCAUUGGAAACUGGGGCACUUGAGUGCAGAAGAGGAUAGUGGAAUUCCAAGUGUAGCGGUGAAAUGCGUAGAGAUUUGGAGGAACACCAGUGGCGAAGGCGACUGUCUGGUCUGUAACUGACACUGAGGCGCGAAAGCGUGGGGAGCAAACAGGAUUAGAUACCCUGGUAGUCCACGCCGUAAACGAUGAGUGCUAAGUGUUGGGGGGUUUCCGCCCCUCAGUGCUGCAGCUAACGCAUUAAGCACCCCGCCUGGGGAGUACGGUCGCAAGACUGAAACUCAAAGGAAUUGACGGGG
rnacentral:rRNA from 1 species